rnacentral:rRNA from 1 species
CAGUAGCCGCGGUAAUACGUAGGGUGCGAGCGUUAAUCGGAAUUACUGGGCGUAAAGCGUGCGCAGGCGGUUCGUUAAGACAGAUGUGAAAUCCCCGGGCUCAACCUGGGAACUGCAUUUGUGACUGGCAAGCUAGAGUGUGGCAGAGGGGGGUGGAAUUCCGCGUGUAGCAGUGAAAUGCGUAGAUAUGCGGAGGAACACCGAUGGCGAAGGCAGCCCCCUGGGCCAACACUGACGCUCAUGCACGAAAGCGUGGGGAGCAAACAGGAUUAGAUACCCCCGUAGUCCCUGUCUCUUAUAU